rfam:Bombyx mori DNA, contig: Bm_scaf58_contig28447, strain: p50T/Dazao, build 2, whole genome shotgun sequence.
UUAACUAAAAUUUGUAUGGAGUCGGAAUGUUUGCCGCUAGGGGCGCUGUUCCAACUGCAUACAAAUUUGAGUUA